rnacentral:rRNA from 1 species
GACGAACGCUGGCGGCGUGCUUAACACAUGCAAGUCGAACGGUAAGGCCCUUCGGGGUACACGAGUGGCGAACGGGUGAGUAAUACGUGGGUGAUCUGCCCUGCACUUCGGGAUAAGCCUGGGAAACUGGGUCUAAUACCGGAUAGGACUCCGGCCUGCAUGGUCGGGGGCGGAACGCUCUUGCGGUGUGGGAUGGGCGCGCGGCCUAUCAGCUGGUUGGUGGGGUGAUGGCCUACCAAGGCGACGACGGGUAGCCGGCCUGAGAGGGUGACCGGCCACACUGGGACUGAGAUACGGCCCAGACUCCUACGGGAGGCAGCAGUGGGGAAUAUUGCACAAUGGGCGCAAGCCUGAUGCAGCGACGCCGCGUGAGGGAUGACGGCCUUCGGGUUGUAAACCUCUUUCAGCAUCGACGAAGCGAAAGUGAUGGUAGGUGCAGAAGAAGGACCGGCCAACUACGUGCCAGCAGCCGCCGUAA